rnacentral:rRNA from 1 species
GACGGAGGAGGCAAGCGUUAUCCGGAAUUACUGGGCGUAAAGCGUGCGCAGGCGGUUGUGCAAGACAGGAGGAGAACUCCCGGGCUAACCUGGGAAUGGCCUUUGUGACUGCACGGCUAGAGUGUGUCAGAGGGGGGUAGAAUUCCACGUGUAGCAGUGAAAUGCGUAGAGAUGUGGAGGAAUACCGAUGGCGAAGCAGCCCCUGGGAUAACACUGACGCUCAGGCACGAAAGCG